UACGGGGGGGGUAAGCGUUGUUCGGAAUUACUGGGCGUAAAGGGCUCGUAGGCGGCCAACUAAGUCAUACGUGAAAUCCCUCAGCUUAACUGGGGAACUGCGUGUGAUACUGGAUGGCUUGGAUUUGGGAGAGGGAUGCGGAAUUCCAGGUGUAGCGGUGAAAUGCGUAGAUAUCUGGAGGAACACCGGUGGCGAAGGCGGCAUCCUGGACCAGUACCGACGUUCAGGCACGAAAGCGUGGGGAGCAAACAGG
rnacentral:rRNA from 1 species